ACCGAGCUCGCGCCCGAGAGGGCGGACCUCCCACCCGUGUGUACCGCUACGUUGUUGCUCUGGCGAGCCGCCUCCGGGCCCCGCGCGCUCGCCAGAGGCCCCCCAAACCCUUUUUAUCCCCGUCGUCCGAGCACUACACAAUAGUUAAA
rnacentral:misc_RNA from 1 species